AUUGAACGCUGGCGGCAGGCCUAACACAUGCAAGUCGAGCGGAUGAAGGGAGCUUGCUCCUGGAUUCAGCGGCGGACGGGUGAGUAAUGCCUAGGAAUCUGCCUGGUAGUGGGGGAUAACGUCCGGAAACGGGCGCUAAUACCGCAUACGGCCUGAGGGAGAAAGUGGGGGAUCUUCGGACCUCACGCUAUCAGAUGAGCCUAGGUCGGAUUAGCUAGUUGGUGGGGUAAAGGCCUACCAAGGCGACGAUCCGUAACUGGUCUGAGAGGAUGAUCAGUCACACUGGAACUGAGACACGGUCCAGACUCCUGCGGGAGGCAGCAGUGGGGAAUAUUGGACAAUGGGCGAAAGCCUGAUCCAGCCAUGCCGCGUGUGUGAAGAAGGUCUUCGGAUUGUAAAGCACUUUAAGUUGGGAGGAAGGGCAGUAAGUUAAUACCUUGCUGUUUUGACGUUGCCAACAGAAUAAGCACCGGCUAACUUCGUG
rnacentral:rRNA from 1 species